rnacentral:rRNA from 1 species
CCUACGGGAGGCAGCAGUGAGGAAUAUUGGUCAAUGGACGCAAGUCUGAACCAGCCAUGCCGCGUGCAGGAUGACGGCUCUAUGAGUUGUAAACUGCUUUUGUACGAGGGUAAACCCCGAUACGUGUAUCGUGUUGAAAGUAUCGUACGAAUAAGGAUCGGCUAACUCCGUGCCAGCAGCCGCGGUAAUACGGAGGAUCCGAGCGUUAUCCGGAUUUAUUGGGUUUAAAGGGUGCGUAGGCGGUUUGAUAAGUUAGAGGUGAAAUGUCGGGGCUCAACCCCGAAACUGCCUCUAAUACUGUUGGACUAGAGAGUAGUUGCGGUAGGCGGAAUGUAUGGUGUAGCGGUGAAAUGCUUAGAGAUCAGACAGAACACCGAUUGCGAAGGCAGCUUACCAAACUAUAUCUGACGUUGAGGCACGAAAGCGUGGGUAGCAAACAGGAUUAGAUACCCCUGUAGUC